rnacentral:rRNA from 1 species
CAAUAGCGUAUAUUAAUGUUGUUGCAGUUAAAAAGCUCGUAGUUGGAUUCCUGGCUCGGGGUAGCCGGUCCGCCUUGCAAAAGGUGCGCACUGUGCGGCCUCGGCCAUCCUUUAGAAAAGCGGUUCUGGCAUUCAGUUGUCGGGGUCGGGCUUCUAAACGUUUACUGUGAAAAAAUCAGAGUGUUCAACGCAGGCUUACGCCUUGAAUACAUUAGCAUGGAAUAAUGAGAUAGGACUUUGGUCGGUCUAUUUUGUUUGGUUUGUCACGCCGAAGUAAUGAUUAACAGGGACGGUUGGGGUUCGUUUGUUAUUCAAUUGUCAGAGGUGAAAUUCUUGGAUUUAUUGGAAGACAAACUAGCUGCGAAAGCGUCGAACAAGGACGUUCUCAUUAAU